rnacentral:rRNA from 1 species
GACGAACGCUGGCGGCGUGCUUAACACAUGCAAGUCGAACGGAAAGGCCCUGCUUUUGUGGGGUGCUCGAGUGGCGAACGGGUGAGUAACACGUGAGUAACCUGCCCUUGACUUUGGGAUAACUUCAGGAAACUGGGGCUAAUACCAGAUAGGAGCUCCUGCUGCAUGGUGGGGGUUGGAAAGUUUCGGCGGUUGGGGAUGGACUCGCGGCUUAUCAGCUUGUUGGUGGGGUAGUGGCUUACCAAGGCUUUGACGGGUAGCCGGCCUGAGAGGGUGACCGGCCACAUUGGGACUGAGAGACGGCCCAGACUCCUACGGGAGGCAGCAGUGGGGAAUAUUGCACAAUGGGCGGAAGCCUGAUGCAGCAACGCCGCGUGCGGGAUGACGGCCUUCGGGUUGUAAACCGCUUUCGCCUGUGACGAAGCGUGAGUGACGGUAAUGGGUAAAGAAGCACCGGCUAACUACGUG